rnacentral:rRNA from 1 species
UACGGGGGGGGGUAAGCGUUGUUCGGAAUUACUGGGCGUAAAGGGCUCGUAGGCGGCCAACUAAGUCAGACGUGAAAUCCCUCAGCUUAACUGGGGAACUGCGUCUGAUACUGGAUGGCUUGGAUUCGGGAGAGGAAUGCGGAAUUCCAGGUGUAGCGGUGAAAUGCGUAGAUAUCUGGAGGAACACCGGUGGCGAAGGCGGCAUUCUGGACCGAUAUUGACGCUGAGGCACGAAAGCCAGGGGAGCAAACGGG